rnacentral:rRNA from 1 species
AUGCACGCUGGCGGCGUGCCUAAUACAUGCAAGUCGAGCGAACAGACGAGGAGCUUGCUCCUCUGACGUUAGCGGCGGACGGGUGAGUAACACGUGGAUAACCUACCUAUAAGACUGGGAUAACUUCGGGAAACCGGAGCUAAUACCGGAUAAUAUAUUGAACCGCAUGGUUCAAUAGUGAAAGACGGUUUUGCUGUCACUUAUAGAUGGAUCCGCGCCGCAUUAGCUAGUUGGUAAGGUAACGGCUUACCAAGGCAACGAUGCGUAGCCGACCUGAGAGGGUGAUCGGCCACACUGGAACUGAGACACGGUCCAGACUCUUACGGGAGGCAGCAGUAGGGAAUCUUCCGCAAUGGGCGAAAGCUUGACGGAGCAACGCCGCGUGAGUGAUGAAGGUCUUCGGAUCGUAAAACUCUGUUAUUAGGGAAGAACAAAUGUGUAAGUAACUAUGCACGUCUUGACGGUACCUAAUCAGAAAGCCACGGCUAACUACGU